UACGUAGGGUGCAAGCGUUGUCCGGAAUUAUUGGGCGUAAAGAGCUCGUAGGCGGUCUGUCGCGUCUGCUGUGAAAACUCAGGGCUUAACCCUGAGCUUGCAGUGGGUACGGGCAGACUAGAGUGCGGUAGGGGAGACUGGAAUUCCUGGUGUAGCGGUGAAAUGCGCAGAUAUCAGGAGGAACACCGGUGGCGAAGGCGGUUCUCUGGGCCUUACCUGGCGCUGAGGAGCGAAAGCUAGGGUAGCAAACGGG
rnacentral:rRNA from 1 species